UCAAAAGGCAAUCCCGGUCUUAAAGUUUGGAUUUUUUUUUAUAAAGUUUUUGGCUUCUGGGUUUUAUGAGGUUUUGAAGUGAAAUGGCCCGAAUGGGUAGGAAAGUUUGGAACUUUUUGGGGUGUUAAAUGCCUUUUGCUUUCUGGGUUUUUUAGGUUUUAAUUGGAAAAAGGGUCAGAGAGGUUCUUUGCUUCAGAGAGAGAGAGAGGUGUUUGUUUUCGGUUGUUUGCCCGAUCUCUUCAUAAAGAGUAGAUAAUUGGGAAGCUUCUGGGAAUUGAUAUGAAGGAGGAAGAACGCAGUAUUAAAACCAAUUGAUUGAGGCAUCUCUGGCCGAUUCAUUUUUGCUGACCUUGAUGAGCUAUCUGACAAUGAAGCCAAUGUUCCUGUUGAAGGGGAUGCUGGUGUUGCAAACAUGGAGCAAGAUGUCAAUGGGGACUUGGCAAACUUAAAGACACUUAACUAUGAUGAUCUGGAUAGUGUUUCAAAAUUGCAAAAAUCACAAAGCUUUGCCGAUAUAAUGCAGGUGCUUCAGAUUUUCUACCAAUAAAGAAAAUCAAGAUUUUCUAUAGUCUUGAAGAGGAACAUGAAACUCAUGCUCACCACUCCGACCGCAGUAUCCGAGAAAAUCUGGUAGCCAAGCUCCUAAAAUAUGUUGAGUGGGCAACAUGGGAUUGUGGUUGUUAUAACAUAGGUAAUAUCAGGGAAGGGCUGUUUUGUGACAGGAUAGGGAUUGGCUUACAUUGCUGAUGUACGUAGCGUGCAACAUCUGAAUAACAAAUUUUGCCAAUGCUUGAAUCUGUAUGUUUUAGUAUCUUAUGAGGCAAAAUGUCCACAAUGACAACUUCAAAUGUCAGUAAGCCUGCAAUUUGGUGUUAACAGCAUGUAAAAUAAAAAU